rnacentral:rRNA from 1 species
GACGAACGCUGGCGGCGUGCUUAACACAUGCAAGUCGAACGGAAAGGCCCUGCUUUUGUGGGGUGCUCGAGUGGCGAACGGGUGAGUAACACGUGAGUAACCUGCCCUUGACUUUGGGAUAACUUCAGGAAACUGGGGCUAAUACCGGAUAGGAGCUCCUGCUGCAUGGUGGGGGUUGGAAAGUUUCGGCGGUUGGGGAUGGACUCGCGGCUUAUCAGCUUGUUGGUGGGGUAGUGGCUUACCAAGGCUUUGACGGGUAGCCGGCCUGAGAGGGUGACCGGCCACAUUGGGACUGAGAUACGGCCCAGACUCCUACGGGAGGCAGAAGUGGGGAAUAUGGCACAAUGGGCGGAAGCCUGAUGCAGCAACGCCGCGUGCGGGAAGACGGCCUUCGGGUUGUAAACCGCUUUCGACUGUGACGAAGCGUGAGUGACGGUAAUGGGUAAAGAAGCACCGGCUAACUACGUG